AGUGGCGGACGGGUGAGUAACGCGUGAGAAUCUGCCUUGGGGUCGGGGACAACCACUGGAAACGGUGGCUAAUACCGGAUAAGCCGAUUGGUGAAAGAUUUAUUGCCCGAAGAGGAGCUCGCGUCUGAUUAGCUAGUUGGUGAGGUAAGAGCUCACCAAGGCAGCGAUCAGUAGCUGGUCUGAGAGGACGAUCAGCCACACUGGGACUGAGACACGGCCCAGACUCCUACGGGAGGCAGCAGUGGGGAAUUUUCCGCAAUGGGCGAAAGCCUGACGGAGCAAGACCGCGUGAGGGAGGAAGGCUCUUGGGUUGUAAACCUCUUUUCUCAGGGAAGAAGCUCUGACGGUACCUGAGGAAUCAGCCUCGGCUAACUCCGUGCCAGCAGCCGCGGUAAUACGGAGGAGGCAAGCGUUAUCCGGAAUUAUUGGGCGUAAAGCGUCCGCAGGUGGCGAUUCAAGUCUGCUGUCAAAGCACGGGGCUUAACUCCGUAAAGGCAGUGGAAACUGAAUAGCUAGAGUGCCGUAGGGGUAGAGGGAAUUCCCGGUGUAGCGGUGAAAUGCGUAGAGAUCGGGAAGAACAUCGGUGGCGAAAGCGCUCUACUGGACGGCAACUGACACUCAGGGACGAAAGCUAGGGGAGCGAUGGGAUUAGAUACCCC
rnacentral:rRNA from 1 species